UACGGGGGGGGCAAGCGUUAAUCGGAAUUACUGGGCGUAAAGCGUGCGCAGGCGGUCUGUUAAGACCGAUGUGAAAUCCCCGGGCUUAACCUGGGAACUGCAUUGGUGACUGGCAGGCUUUGAGUGUGGCAGAGGGAGGUAGAAUUCCACGUGUAGCAGUGAAAUGCGUAGAGAUGUGGAGGAAUACCGAUGGCGAAGGCAGCCUCCUGGGCCAACACUGACGCUCAUGCACGAAAGCGUGGGGAGCAAACAGG
rnacentral:rRNA from 1 species